AAGCAAAGAGCAUCUUUAGUUUGGCACCCCGAAACUAGUGUGAGCUACUCCAAGACAGCCUAUUCAAUAGGGCAAACCCGUCUCUGUGGCAAAAGAGUGGGAAGAGCUUUGAGUAGAGGUGACAGACCUACCGAACCUAGUUAUAGCUGGUUGCCUGAGAACUGGAUAGAAGUUCAGCCUCCCGGCUUCUCCAUAACCCGCGAGAGUUAUUCUAAGGAGGUACAGCUCCUUUGAACCAAAAUACAAUUUUAUAAGGAGGGUAAAGAUCAUAAUCUUAACCAAGGCAGAAUGUCCUAGUGGGCCUAAAAGCAGCCACCCCUUUCAGAAAGCGUUAAAGCUCAGACAUACUAUCCCGAUAAUCUAAUCUUAACCCCCUAGCCCUAUCAGGCCGUUCCAUGCAAACAUGGAAGCGAUAAUGCUAACAUGAGUAACAAGAGGAGCUCCUCUCCCAGCACACGUGUACAUCGAAACGGACCAACCACCGAAACUUAACGGCCCCAAACAAAGAGGGAAUUGAAAGACUACUAGAAAAUCAUCCACCGUUAACCCCACACUGGUGUGCCAUUAAAGGAAAGACUAAAAGAAAAAGAAGGAACUCGGCAAACAAGCCUCGCCUGUUUACCAAAAACAUCGCCUCUUGUAACC
rnacentral:rRNA from 1 species